rnacentral:rRNA from 1 species
CCUACGGGAGGCAGCAGUGAGGAAUAUUGGUCAAUGGACGAGAGUCUGAACCAGCCAAGUAGCGUGAAGGAUGACUGCCCUAUGGGUUGUAAACUUCUUUUAUAUGGGAAUAAAAUGUGACACGUGGGGGAUGUUGUAUGUACCAUAUGAAUAAGGAUCGGCUAACUCCGUGCCAGCAGCCGCGGUAAUACGGAGGAUCCGAGCGUUAUCCGGAUUUAUUGGGGUUAACGGGAGCGUAGGUGGCUUGUUAAGUCAGUGGGGAAAGUUUGCGGCUCAACCGGAAAAUUGCAGUUGAAACUGGCAGUCUUGAGUACAGUAGUGGUGGGCCGAAUUCGUGUUGUAGCGGUGCCCUGCUUAGCUAUCACGAAGAACUCCGAUUGCGAAGGCAGCUCACUGGACUGCACCUGACACUGAGGCUCG